ACGCUCGACACCUACGGGGGCAGCAGUGGGGAAUAUUGCACAAUGGGGGAAACCCUGAUGCAGCGACGCCGCGUGAAGGACGAAGGUUUUCGGAUUGUAAACUUCUUUUGUUAGGGACGAAGAAAUGACGGUACCUGACGAAUAAGCUCCGGCUAACUACGUGCCAGCAGCCGUGGUAAUCUGAGCGGGCUGGCAAGGC
rnacentral:rRNA from 1 species